GACAGAGGGGGCAAGCGUUGCUCGGAAUCACUGGGCGUAAAGGGCGCGUAGGCGGGAUGGCAAGUCAGUCGUGAAAUCUCUCGGCUCAACCGAGAAACGUCGGCUGAUACUGCCGUUCUUGAGGGAUGCAGAGGAGACUGGAAUUCCCGGUGUAGCGGUGAAAUGCGUAGAUAUCGAGAGGAACACCUGCGGCGAAGGCGGGUUGCUGGGCUGACACUGACGCUGAUGCGCGAAAGCUAGGGGAGCGAACGGG
rnacentral:rRNA from 1 species